AUAACUGCCCAUAUAAUAUUCCGUAAGUUUGAAGGAAAAAAAGCAUUAUUUCAGUUCUCAUUCUCAUUUCAGAUUCGAAAAUUCUCUCUCCAGUUUCACCCAUCACCACCACCCACCACCACCAUUAGCACCGUUUCUUCGCCGCCACCACAACCAACACCGUAUUCCAUUUUAAUUUCUUUCUUCUUUUUCUUCUCCGUCUUUUCUAUUUUAACAGAGAUUUAAUAGAUGAAGAUUUGUGCGAUCGAGAUCGAGGGGUUUUCAAUUUCAAUCAAAUCCCGAAAUCAAACUUCAUAAGCAUCAUCGGGAGUUCUUCUUCUUGUUGUUUUAACUGUAAUUUCUACAUCAAUUGAAGAUUCAAGAGGUCCAGAUAGAGUUUUAGGUUUUCGAUUCGGGUUUCUGGUGGAGCUUGAACAAAAAUCAAGUUUUGGUUAUUUGAUUCAGGUGUUUACGGCAUUCUUUCUUCUCUGUGCUUCAGCACCAUCUAUACUGAACGGUGUGUAUGGGAUUUACAGACACGAAUUCUAGGUUGUGUAUUUGUAUGUCAUAUUAGUGUUGUAGCUUCAGUUAAAAUGAUGGGUUGGAUUGCUGCUACAACUUUGCUGCGAUGUUUGUUAUUGACGGUGUUUGGAGGUACGGUAGGUAUGCAAACCAUUAUGGGAGCUAAGGAUACUCCUGAGUGGUGACAUGAUGUUUCAUCUGCAGCUUAUAUGCUUUUUGGAGGAUUAAUGAUUCUUUUGCCAUGAAUUUUGAAGCUAACGUCACAAACUAUUAUAAAUCAGCAAAGAGAUAUCCAAGACAUUGAGUAGUUGCAAUUCAGUUCAGGUACCUUAUUUUUUUUUACAGGUUCUAGCCAGUGAUGUCGCAACACUUAUUACUACUUCAUUUGGAGACAGCUUGGGCUAGUUGCCUUCACUUUUGAAGACAACUGAAUAUGUCAAUGAGGAAUGGAAGAAACUGAGUAUGAAUAUGAAGAAAUCAGGCUGUAGUAAAUGAUGAAGGGUGCUGAGAGCUAGUUUUGUUGGUGAUUCAAUGGGUUGGUUACAAAGCUAUAGAAUUGCAGCAAAAGAGUGGACUGGAAUGGGAGUUGAAGUGAAGUGCAGAACAGUUUGAUGUUGCAGCUGAAGCUUGGCCAAUAGAGCUGGGUUUGCAUACGGUUGUUAAGUUGAGCUUACUGAUGGAUGCUCAGCUGGUAUAUGUGUUUGUUUUUGCCAAACCAGGUAGCUUUUUAUGCAUGUUACCUUGUGUUAUGCAUGAAUCUGUGGUGCAAUGGUAGCACAACUGACUAUACAUCAGAAGAUGUGUGUUCGACUCACACUAGGUUCACUCAUUUGUAUACUCCCUCCGUUUCACGAAGACAGUUCGCUUUGACUUUCUCAAAAUAUUAAGGAGACCAUACUAUUUUACUUGACUA